GACGAACGCUGGCGGCGUGCUUAACACAUGCAAGUCGAACGGAAAGGCCCUGCUUUUGUGGGGUGCUCGAGUGGCGAACGGGUGAGUAACACGUGAGUAACCUGCCCUUGACUUUGGGAUAACUUCAGGAAACUGGGGCUAAUACCGGAUAGGAGCUCCUGCUGCAUUGUGGGGGUUGGAAAGUUUCGGCGGUUGGGGAUGGACUCGCGGCUUAUCAGCUUGUUGGUGGGGUAGUGGCUUACCAAGGCUUUGACGGGUAGCCGGCCUGAGAGGGUGACCGGCAACAUUGGGACUGAGAUACGGCCCAGACUCCUACGGGAGGCAGCAGUGGGGAAUAUUGCACAAUGGGCGGAAGCCUGAUGCAGCAACGCCGCGUGCGGGAUGACGGCCUUCGGGUUGUAAACCGCUUUCGCCUGUGACGAAGCGUGAGUGACGGUAAUGGGUAAAGAAGCACCGGCUAACUACGUG
rnacentral:rRNA from 1 species